GUGGGGAAUAUUGGGCAAUGGGGGAAACCCUGACCCAGCAACGCCGCGUGAAGGAAGAAGGUUUUCGGAUCGUAAACUUCUAUCCUUGGUGAAGAUAAUGACGGUAGCCAAGAAGGAAGCCCCGGCUAACUACGUGCCAGCAGCCGCGGUAAUACGUAGGGGGCAAGCGUUGUCCGGAAUGAUUGGGCGUAAAGGGCGCGUAGGCGGCCUGGUAAGUCUGGAGUGAAAGUCCUGCUUUUAAGGUGGGAAUUGCUUUGGAUACUGUCGGGCUUGAGUGCAGGAGAGGUAAGCGGAAUUCCCGGUGUAGCGGUGAAAUGCGUAGAGAUCGGGAGGAACACCAGUGGCGAAGGCGGCUCACUGGACCGACAUUGACGCUGAGGCGCGAAAGCGUGGGGAGCAAACAGGAUUAGAUACCCCAGUAGUCC
rnacentral:rRNA from 1 species